rnacentral:lncRNA from 1 species
GCUUGUUCAUACAAGACUUUCCCAGAUUUCCAAGAUGAAAUAGCCAAGGUCACACAGUCUGCAGAUGACCAGCCCCCUAUGCCUCCUCAGCUUUCAAGGGGCAAAGAGAGCUACAAAAUGUCCUUUCCACAACAGCCUGAAAGGCGGCUGCUUCCACUGAACACAUCUUAGAACCAUGACUUGUCUGCCAUAUUCCUCCAGGAUUCUCCAGGAAGCUGUUUGCAGUCUAGUGUUGUCCAUUGUGAGCAACAGAAAUGCAGAAUCUAUUUUUGGCCAAGGAUGGUGAAGGACAAAAGGAUGAACAAGGAGCUCAUCUACUCUGAAGUCAAAGUCUAGCAAGUCAGUUGCCACUGAAUCCAAACUCUACAGCAUUACUCAACAGGAAAG